rnacentral:rRNA from 1 species
GACGAACCGUGCGAACGCUGUUCGGAAUCACUGGGCUUAAAGGGCGCGUAGGCGGGUCUGCAAGUCGGAGGUGAAAGCCCGCAGCUCAACUGCGGAAGUGCCCCCGAUACUGUGGACCUCGAGGGAGGUAGGGGCGUGCGGAACUUCCGGUGGAGCGGUGAAAUGCGUAGAUAUCGGAAGGAACACCGGUGGCGAAAGCGGCGCGCUGGACCUCUUCUGACGCUGAGGCGCGAAAGCCAGGGGAGCAAACGGG